CUAACAUCUGCUGCCAAUCCUCCUCUUUUUGCUGAGGAACAUUGGCCCUGAGCUAACAUCUGUGCCCAUCUUCCUCUAUUUUAUACCUGGGAUGCAUACCAGUACUUGGCUUGCCAAGUAGCGCCAUGUCCACACCCAGGAUUCAAACUGGCGAACCCUGGGCUUCUGAAGCGCAACAUGCACACUUAACCACUGCGCCACUGGCCAGCCCCUCUAUCCUUCUUAAGGCUGGAUAAUUUCCCCCAUUUUGUGUAUCUUUUCAUCUCUCAGUGGAGACCUAAAUUCUUCCAUCUUCUGGCUGUUAUGAGUAAUGUUGCUAUGAAUAUGGGUGUACAAAUCUCUCUUCAAGGCCCUGCGUUCAGUUCUUGGGGGUACACCCCAAAGUAGAAUUGCUAGAUCAUAUGGUAAUUUUAUUUUUAACUUCUCAAGGAGCCACAAUACUGUUUUCCACGGUGGCUGCCCCAUUUUACAUUCCCGUCCUCGGUGCACAAGAGCCCCAGUGUCUGCCAUCGUCACCUACACUUGUUAUUCUCUGCGUUUUGAUAGUAGCCGUUCUAAUGGGUGUGAAGUGAAGCUCAAUUUUUUCUUAUUACGUUCAACAGGUAUAAAAUUAUCCUGUUAAAUUACUAUACAACAGUUUUAAAUGCUUACUUUCAACUUCUGUACUUAUCUAAUUACAGACCAAUGACAAACAUUUCCCAAACUGGCCCUAGCCUGUGGACCAGACCUUGACCAGCAGCACUUCUGGGCAGUGUUUGUCCCUGGGGGCGAAGAGGACUGAUGGUCAGAGCCGACCCUUAUUCCACUCUUACUCUCUGGCACAGCACCCUCGUGAAGUAGGUACUGUUGUUGUGCCCAGUUUAUAGACGAGAAAACAGAGGCGCAGAGGUUAGGAGACUUGCCCAGUGUUAGCGGGUUGGGAGGUGGUAGAGGCAGCUGUGAAUCCCAGCAGUAUGGCCUCAGCCAUUUUUGUUGUUGUUGUUGCUUUGUUUUCCAAGAUUACUAAAUUAAUUGCUCAUAUGGGAGAAAGUUGGAAGGUUCCCAGGUUCCAGCUUGAGCGACUGGGUGAACAGGAAUGCCAAGUUUGGGAGGAAACGUAGUCAGUCUAGUUUUGGACAUGUUGAGGUUAAGAUUCAUGGUGUGACAUGGUGGGAGCAGUGCCAAGGGCAGCUGGGCACUAAGUUCUGAGCUCCUAAACAAGGACUGGGCUAGAAGUGCAGUGGAGGAAACCUGGGUGAGAAUGACAUGAGUUUGAUGAGAUUCCUCAGAGAGACCAAGAACAUUCUAGAAAGAAGCAAAGGAGCCCCAGGAAAGUAGGGUAAGGAGGUCCACCCAAAAGGGAAAGUGGUGUCACCAGGGCGUCCAGGGCUACUCGGAGGCCAUACAAGAUAGGACAAUCUAGUGCCUGUGGAGCUGGCUGUGUGGUGGCCCUGGACAGUAUCAUGGGGGCCAGUGAGGGUGGAGGGUUGCCAUGGGUUGAGAGUUGGGUGGUGGUGGGCAGGGUGGAAGAAGAAACCAAGAGUGCAGACCACUCUUUCUAGAAGCUCAGCUGUAAAGUGAAGGAGAUAUAGGACAGUCUCUGAAGGGUAGCUAUGUGUGUCUUGGGAGGGGGCUAGGAGAUUGCCCAAAAAUAGAUUAUUAUUUUGUUUUGUCUUAAAAAAAAAGAAAAGGCUGGAACAAACAUGAGUUGGUUCAUAGUUGCGGCGGUAGGAGAUGGAACCCAGUAGAAAGGGGAAAGAUUGAGAGGAAUAUGUGCUGAUUGCUGGAAGGAUGGGGAAUUGGAUCAGGAAUGAUCAAGCUUGAAUAAAGGAAGAGAAGCCCUUCUUCCCUGAAGAUGGGAGGGAAAAUAGUUUAUGAUACAGAUUCACUUGUGAAAGAAGGGGAGGAAGCAGAUGUCAUCAAUGGAGUCAGAGGCAAAUUGCCCACUGAGAGGGAGAGAGUGGUGCGUGGUGGAUGGGUACUGAGGAAAGAGGUGCAUAUUGGAUGUCCAAGACACAGCAGUGAGAGUCACCUGGGGUCACAGAAAAGAUGCACCAGAAGGAGGAAGAGCCCAGCUAGGCUGGAGAAGAUGCAUCAGCAUGGCCCCCCUGGCCCGUUUGUGGGAUUUUUCUCCAUCAGGGCUCAGCUGCCCAAGAGCAGAAGCAGAGAAGGUAGGUGACAAGAUGGAUCCAGAGUUAAAAUUUCACAAGUUGGCUCUGGCUGCAGUCAACAGGGCAGGAAAGUAGAGUGAUUGCUGUCAUGAGAAGAGAAGAAGGAAGUGAACUGUGGUGGUUUUAAAACAUGUCCACAAAUUUUUUGACACUCCUCCCUUCAAAAGGGGGAGUCUAAUUCUCCUAACUUUGACCGUGGGCUGGACUUAGUGACUUGCUUCUAAGGAAUAGAAUGUAGCAGAAGUGACAGUGUGUGACUUGCAACUUUAGGUCACAAAAGAGUUUGUGACUUCCUCUUUGGUCACUUGUUCUGGGGGAAGCCAGCUGCCAUGUUAUAAGGAUGCUCAAGCAUUCCUAUCUAGAGGCCCUUGUGGCUGAGGAGCUGAGGCCUCCUGUUAACAGCCAUGAGUGGAGCCAUCUUGGAAACAGACCCUUCCCCCAGUCAAGCCUUCAGAUGACUGCAGCCUUGGCCAACAUGGUCACUGUGACCUCAUGAGAGAACCUGAACCAUGGCCACCAGCUAAGCUCAUAGAAGCUGUAUGAGAUAAUAAGUGUUUGCUGUUUGAAGCUGUUAAGCUUUUGGGUAAUUUGUCAUGCGCAACAGAUAACCAAUAUCCUGCCCAAGUAUGAGAGCAGAGAAGGUGGACAGCGGGACUGAUCCAGAGUCAAAGUGUGGCAGAAAUGAGACAUCUGACCCACCUUCGGACUCUGCCUGGACCGCAGACCCCACAGGCAGGUAGUAGAUGAUGGCGAUGGAGACUUGCGCCCUGGAGCCAGACUGCAGCCUGGCUUUGCCUCUUUCUGUCUCAGUGAUCUCAGGAAACAAAGAGGCCCUCCUAGGUGUCCCUGGACUCCUUUCUGCACCUCACCCGGUCCAGCUGGGCUCCAGAUGAGAAAUAUUAACCAACACUCCGUCUGUCUACAAUCAUCGCCAGUGACGCUUUCAUUCAAGAUAUUCCGAGAGCAUGCAAGGUCUUCUUGGUUCCCAGCAAAGCACCUGAAAUGACCUCAUUCUGGAGAUGGAUGAGCAAAGCUCUCCACACAUCCCUCUUCUACAUGAAAAACAUGCUUUGGGGAGGUCUCCUUUCCCUGGUAUUUCUCUCCUGAAGGCAGUGAUCUUUGCCUCUUUUCAGUGGCCUUUCCUGUUCCAGAUUCUGUUAUGUUCCCUAGUGAGCCAGUAAAAUUUCC
rnacentral:lncRNA from 1 species